UACGUAGGGGGCAAGCGUUGUCCGGAUUUAUUGGGCGUAAAGAGCGUGUAGGCGGCUAUACAGGUCCGUUGUGAAAACUCGAGGCUCAACCUCGAGACGCCGAUGGAAACCGUAUGGCUAGAGUCCGGAAGAGGAGAGCGGAAUUCCCGGUGUAGCGGUGAAAUGCGUAGAGAUCGGGAAGAACAUCGGUGGCGAAAGCGCUCUACUGGACCGCAACUGACACUCAGGGACGAAAGCUAGGGGAGCGAAUGGG
rnacentral:rRNA from 1 species